GGGGAAUAUUGCACAAUGGGCGCAAGCCUGAUGCAGCGACGCCGCGUGGGGGAUGAAGGCCUUCGGGUUGUAAACUCCUUUCGCUAGGGACGAAGCUUUUUGUGACGGUACCUAGAUAAGAAGCACCGGCUAACCACGUGCCAGCAGCCGCGGUAAUACGUAGGGUGCGAGCGUUGUCCGGAAUUACUGGGCGUAAAGGGCUCGUAGGUGGUUUGUCGCGUCGUCUGUGAAAUUCUGGGGCUUAACUCCGGGCGUGCAGGCGAUACGGGCAUAACUUGAGUGCUGUAGGGGUAACUGGAAUUCCUGGUGUAGCGGUGAAAUGCGCAGAUAUCAGGAGGAACACCGAUGGCGAAGGCAGGUUACUGGGCAGUUACUGACGCUGAGGAGCGAAAGCAUGGGUAGCGAACAGGAUUAGAUACCCUGGUAGUCCAUGCCGUAAACGGUGGGCGCUAGGUGUGAGGGUCUUUCUACGACUUUCGUGCCGUAGCUAACGCAUUAAGCGCCCCGCCUGGGGAGUACGGCCGCAAGGCUA
rnacentral:rRNA from 1 species